CUUGCAAUUUCUAAAGAUUAGAGUUGAUACCUUUCUCAGGUUCAAGAGAUCCUAUCCUUUCACGUGGUACACAAUUUUUGCUUUUCAAACCUUGGCCACAUAAUCUUUCACCUCGUCCAAGUCUCCAUUUUUCAGGGCCCACAUGAACUCCUUGUUGCACAUCACUGCAGCGGAGCAGGCCGGCUGGCCAGGCAGAAGACGAGGAGGCGGCGGCAGCAGCAAGUGGAUACCUCCGGGUGAGAGGGAGACAAGGCCACACCAAGCCGGAGAGGAGAGAAGAAGUAUGUGAAUCCGAACCUGUGACCUUGGUGUUACCAGCACCACGCUCUCCCAAGUGAGCUAACCGGCAAGCCCGAGAGUAGACAAUUCUGCAGCCAUUGAAUCUCAAUGAAGACAUGAAGGUGUCCAGUCGAAGAUAUUAAUGAACAUUGCAAUCUUCACUCCAGGAUAAGAAUAGUUUUCCUCCUGCCCCAGGCCUUGGUCAUGGUUCAAACCAACUCUCUCUCAGUUCCUGGGAAACACCCUGCACCUUCCACCCCCAGCUGCAUGCCCAAGACCAGGAAAGUCUCACCUUGGCUGAUGCUUUCUCAGCCCUGGUUCUCCAGGGACCGUGUUCACACUUGAACUCACUGCUGGAGAGCCUUCACCCUUCCAGGUUAUCUCCCUGGGCAGAACUUAAGAUUCCAGGUACCCUCACCAGCAUAGUUCAAAUCUGGAUGACAACCUAACCGGCUCACCUUUGUUAUGCCACUAAAACAGCUCAACAGCCUGACUCCUGCUGGCCACUGUGUCCCCAAAUGCCUGGGAAGCCACAGGCUCUGUAAGUGCUUCCUCUAAGUUUCUUUUUCUUUUG